CCUACGGGAGGCUGCAGUGAGGAAUAUUAGUCAAUGGACGAGAGUCUGAACCAGCCAAGUAGCGUGAAGGAUGACUGCCCUAUGGGUUGUAAACUUCUUUUAUAUGGGAAUAAAACGUUCCACGUGUGGGAUUUUGUAUGUACCAUAUGAAUAAGGAUCGGCUAACUCCGUGCCAGCAGCCGCGGUAAUACGGAGGAUCCGAGCGUUAUCCGGAUUUAUUGGGUUUAAAGGGAGCGUAGGUGGAUUGUUAAGUCAGUUGUGAAAGUUUGCGGCUCAACCGUAAAAUUGCAGUUGAAACUGGCAGUCUGGAGUACAGUAGAGGUGGGCGGAAUUCGUGGUGUAGCGGUGAAAUGCUUAGAUAUCACGAAGAACUCCGAUUGCGAAGGCAGCUCACUGGACUGCAACUGACACUGAGGCUCGAAAGUGUGGGUAUCAAACAGGAUUAGAUACCCUGGUAGUC
rnacentral:rRNA from 1 species